rnacentral:rRNA from 1 species
GGGUUGUGAGGUUAAGCGACUAAGCGUACACGGUGGAUGCCCUGGCAGUCAGAGGCGAUGAAGGGCGUGCUAAUCUGCGAUAAGCGCCGGUAAGGUGAUAUGAACCGUUAUAACCGGCGAUACCCGAAUGGGGAAACCCAGUGUGACUCGUCACACUAUCAUUAACUGAAUCCAUAGGUUAAUGAGGCGAACCGGGGGAACUGAAACAUCUAAGUACCCCGAGGAAAAGAAAUCAACCGAGAUUCCCCCAGUAGCGGCGAGCGAACGGGGAGGAGCCCAGAGCCUGAAUCAGCAUGUGUGUUAGUGGAAGCGUCUGGAAAGGCGCGCGAUACAGGGUGACAGCCCCGUACACAAAAGCGCAUGUGCUGUGAGCUCGAUGAGUAGGGCGGGACACGUGGUAUCCUGUCUGAAUAUGGGGGGACCAUCCUCCAAGGCUAAAUACUCCUGACUGACCGAUAGUGAACCAGUACCGUGAGGGAAAGGCGAAAAGAACCCCGGCGAGGGGAGUGAAAAAGAACCUGAAACCGUGUACGUACAAGCAGUGGGAGCCCCACCACCAAAGCAUUUGCUGUACCGCGUUGACGGAGCGAAGCGACGUCAAACCGAUAAAACAGCAGU